CCUGCCUCCAGCUAGGUAAAGCGUAUCUCAAACCUAUUCCAGUCUCGCCUUACCCUGAAUGAGAAUUGUGCUCCUCCUCCGUUGGUGGGAACAAAUUCACAGUCUCGCCCCAGUUUCCCGCCACCACCACCUCCACCUCCGCCACACCGCAGCCCCACCGAGUCACACAAGUCAGAGAGGGACCACUUCCUCCUAGAAGCCGAGGCAGAGGACCAGGUCGCCAGGACGCACACACCUGAGAUCGGUCGUCACGCGCAAGGGGUCGGCGAGCAAGGGAGUCAGGAUCCUCCAGCCAGAACGGAGUCGGCCUCACCGAGAACCAGAGAGGCCCUGAGCUCGCUGCGAGCGCGCCGGGAUGUCACCGGGUCAGGCGGGGCCACGAUCUCAAAUAUUUACUUAGAAGUUCAAUGCGUUUCUCUGCAAAGAAGUAGGUCGAAAUCAGGACCCCAUGCUGGCUUCCCACUAAUUCACCUAAAAGAUUGCAGUUCCUGAAAAUGAAACCAUUCCGCCAUUGACUUUCGCAUUCUGGUGCCUAUAAAAGAUGUUUAAAUGUUCAUUGGCUUUAAAUGGAUGCUUAAGUGAACAGUGUGUUUCCGGCCCAACUAUGUCAAGUCUUUCUUCACUAAGUACUCCACCCAUGAAGGAUUCAGCUCUCAUCAGAAACCCAUGAGCACCCAUCAGACCUCGGCAUAAUUUAGACGACAGAGGAGAAAAAUCGGAAGCACUGGGCAGCAUUGCACUUGACAAAUAUGGGCCUCAAAACAAACAAAAAAGAUCAGAACAGGAAGCAUCCAAUAGGAUUCAUGAAGAGCCCUAAAGGAAAAAGAUGCGACAAUGUGAGAAAAGGGGAAAGAGCCGGGAAGCAGCCCCAAACAAUCCAUGUUUUCUUUUGAGUCCUCUCUGUCAAAACCACUGCAUUUUGGCAUUGUUCCUGUGUGUAUCACAUUUCAUCCCCACCACUGCUGAAUAAAAGGAGCAAAAUUAGAGAGGAAAAUGCUCUA
rnacentral:lncRNA from 1 species